rnacentral:misc_RNA from 1 species
GAACGAACGAGGGAAAUGGGGUAGUGUUCAAAACCAAUUGCUAGCACCUAAGGACCCACCAUCCACACCACAAAACACCACACAAGAUGUUCAACUUUAUGAAGAAGAGCGCCGGCGACGACGACAAGGAGCGUCGCAAGCGCGAGAAGAAGCUGCGCAAAGAGGCUAAGGGCACCGGCUUCGGCUCCGGCACCGGAAUCGGAAUCGGAGGCGUUGGCGGCGUCACCGGGAGCAUGAGCACCGACGAGCUGCUCCGUCUGGACGAGGUGCGUCGCUCGCUGAAGAUCCGCGGCCGGCGCAAGGAGAAGGAGAAGCUACCGAGUGGCAUCACGGCGGACUACAGUGCCGAUUUCUUUGCCGCCCUGGCGAAUGCCGACUCUAGUGGCAACGGCAGCAAUGGAGGAACUUCGACUGGUGGCCCCGAACAGGAUCGUGGCAAUGAGGAGAUUGUAGCAUCUGUGAUGACCCACAUCGAGAGCCGUUCGUCCAACGGCGCCGGCGUGAGUGUCAACUACAGCGAGGUCACACAUUCCCUGCUGGCCGGCGGCGCCAAGAAUCGCUUUCUGCCGCCUGUGCCGCCAAAACCGCCAAAGCGCGGAAUUCUGAAAGGAUCCCGUAGUAACAUGACCAAUGUACACGAGGAAAUUACCUUUACAGGUGGAGGCGGAACCCCGGAGAUGCUCGUGCGCAAUACCAUGCAGAAUGAACUGCUGGCAGCUGGCUCCAUUGGCUCCAACUCGAGCCAGCACGGCACCUCCUUCACCUCCGUGGAGAGCCUCCGUAGCGACGGCGAGCAGCCGGGCGUCCACCAACGGGCCAUGACCCUGCCGGCAAACGCCCGCUACGGAGCUGCUCCUCAAGCCAACAGCCAUCUGCAUGUGCUCACCUCGCCAUCACCCAGCGCCGAUAGUCUCACAGAUACCACAAACUCCUCGUUCGCCACGCCACCCUUCUCCCUGAGUCCAGUCGGCGAGUCACAGGGCAUCGAUCGCUGGGCCCGCGUUCAUGCCUUCGAGGAUGUGGAGCUGCCGCUGCCGCCAGUGCAACUGGUGCAGCUGCCACCGCCCAGGCAGCUGGUCAUCCGGCGCCAGAAGUCGCCGAGACAAGAUUUCGGGUUUAGUCUGCGAAAGGCCAUAUGCUUGGAUAGAACCGAGUCCCUGAUGUCGCCCAUCUUUAGGCCGGUGAUUUUCGCCGAGCCAGGUGCUGGAGGUGGUGCUACCGGGCUGCUGCCCGGCGACCGCCUCAUCAAGGUGAACGGCACUUCAGUGGGGGAGUUGUCGCGUGAAAUCAUCAUAGAAAUGAUACGAAACAGCGGUGAUGCCGUCACAGUAGAGGUCCAACCCGUGGCCGAGCUGGUGGAGCUGAGCAAGCGCUGUAUGGCACCCAGUACAGCCACCGUGGAGGAGAUCGAUCAUUCCAUUACCAAUGGCAACUGCAACACCCUCCGGCGCAGUGCCAGCAAGCGUUUCAAGCGACAGAGCCGCCAUGAGAACGGCAACGGAGGAGCUGGCGAGGGCGGCGCCGGAGGAGUGGCUCAUGAUCUGGAGGCGGACGUGGCUGAUGGCAGCCAGCCGGAGCGUGUAUGGCUGGUGCAUCGCGGCGGCUUCACUGCCGCCAUUCGCCUGCCGACGGCAGCAUCUGGCCGGGAUGAGGAACAGCACAAGGUGAGCCUCCGCCUGAUGCACAAUGGGGAACAGCUGACCGUCGACGAGGACGAUGUGGAGAAGCAGAACAGCCCGACCCUGGACCUGGCCGAGGACAUCUGUGAGCUGAAGUAUCUGAACGAGGCGUCGGUGCUGCACUGCCUCCGUCAGCGAUACGCCAGCAAUCUCAUCCACACCAAGGCGGGGCCCACGCUCCUCGUGGUCAACCCGAUGGCCCCGCUAUCCCUCUACUCCGAAAAGGUUGUCUCCAUGUUCCGCGGCUGCAAGACGGAGGACAUGCCGCCCCACGUCUACUCACUGGCCCAGACCGCCUACAGGAGUUUGGUUGAGACGCGGCGCGACCAGAGCUUGAUAUUCAUGGGCCGGUCUGGCUCUGGCAAAUCCACCAGUUUCAAGCAUGCUCUCAACUACCUGGCGUUGGCAGCUGGAGCCUACAAUAACUUCAUCAAUGCUGAGAAGGUCAAUGCCCUCUGUACCAUUCUGGAGGCCUUUGGCAACACAAAAACUUGUCUCAACUCCAACGCCACUCGGAUGACGCAACUGCUCAGCCUGGACUUCGACCAGACUGGCCAAAUUGCAUCCGCCUCCCUGCAGGUUCUUCUGCCAGAACGACAGCGAGCUGGCCGGCGUUUGGCUCAUGAACAUAGUUUCCACAUCAUGACGCGACUCUUGGCGGGAGCAGCUGGAUUGUUGCAGAAGGAGCUGCACCUGGAAAACAUCUCCUCGGAGGACAGUCAUCCAUUCAUUUCACUCUCACAGAAGCUGGAGGAUCGCCACAGAGCCGCCAAUGAUUUUAUGCGCACUGUGGCAGCCUUCGAGACGCUCAACAUUGAUGCCAAGGCAGUGCGCGGAAUCUGGAGCAUUCUGGCAGCCAUUUACCACCUCGGCAUCGCGGGAGUCACAAAGCUGGGAGUGGGCUCCACGGCGCGCACUCAGUUCGCCAAUCCCACCGCUGCCCGCAAGGCGGCCGGGCUGUUGGGCGUUAAUCUGGAGGAUCUGUCGUCGGCCGCCUUUGGUCUGACACAGCCGAAUGCGCCCAACGGCGGCCUGAGUCCCUCCAAGUCGCCCACCUCCGACACCGGACACGAGUGGGCAUGGGAGUGCCUGGAGGCGUUGGUCAUUGGCCUGUACUCGGAGGCCUUGGCGGCAGUUGUCGCCUUGAUUAAUCGACAGAUCUGCACCUCGGCCCACACCAUAGCCUCGAUCAUGCUAAUAGAUACGCCUGGCUUCCAGAACCCAGCUAGUUGUGGCCAGCAGGUGGGCGCAACUCUGGCCGAUUUGCGUCACAACUAUUUGCAGGAGCGCCUACAGAUGCUCUUCCAUCACACCACCCUGGUGGCGCCGCGCGACCGCUACGCCCAGGAGCUGGUAGAGAUCGAGAUGGACCAUGCCUCGGAGUGUCAUCCGGGACCGCUAAUAUCGCUGAUUGACAAGGCGCCCCAGAACCAUGUGGUGCGUUCCUCUCAGCGAGACUUACGUGAGCACGAUCGCCGGGGAAUGCUAUGGCUCCUUGAUGAGGAAGCAAUCUACCCCAACUCCAACGACGACACAUUCCUUGAACGUCUGUUCUCGCACUACGGGGAUCGGGAGCAUCAUACGCUGCUGCGCAAGUGCGCCGGUCCCCGCCAGUUUGUGCUCCACCAUCUGCAGGGCACCAAUCCCGUACUCUAUGCCGUGGAUGGCUGGGUGAGGAACAGUCGCGAGCAUCCUGGCAUAAGGAAUGCGGUUUCCCUGCUGCAGGACAGCAGCCGGGAGGAGAUCAACCGCCUCUACAUUGGCUCUCUGACUCGUGGCUCGGGUGCCAUGGUGUUCUGCGGCUCUUUUGCCGGCCUGGAGGGCACCCAAUCCCUGCGCCGUGUCUCCAGCAUUCGCAGAUCCUUCACCACAGCCGGCGUGAAGCGGAAUUCGAUCAUGUUGCAGGUGAAGUUCACGGUGGAUGGAAUCAUUGACACGCUGCGCCGCACCGGCACCCACUUUGUCCACUGCUAUCUGUUGCAACACAAUGCCGGGAAGCAUGCCAAGUUCACGGCCAACGGAUCUCCCAGCUCGGCGGCGGGCCAGGCCUCUAGCGAGGAGGAAAUGGUCAAUGUGCCACUAUUAAGGAGUCAGCUACGUGGCUCGCAAGUCGUGGAGGCUGCUCGACUGCAUCGCCUGGGCUUCCCAGAAUCAGUUCCCCUUCUGGAGUUUGUGCGUCGGUUUGGCCUAUUGGCCGGAGACUUGGCCAGCAACAAGGAUGUGAGCGUGGAGCAGAUACUCUCAGUCAAUGAGUUGGACGUGGCCAGUUACCGCAUUGGACCUAGUCAGAUCCUCUUCCGUUCUGGAGUUCUCAGCGAACUGGAAGCCAAGCGCGAUGUCCUGCUCUCAGAUCGCAUCAUUCAGCUGCAGGCCUUCUGCCGAGGGUAUCUGGCCCGGAAAAAGAUGUCCCAGCGUCGGGUGCAGGAACUGGCCGUUCGCUGCAUCCAGCGGAAUGUGAAGGCCUUCCUGGCCGUCCGUGACUGGCCCUGGUGGCGCCUCCUGGUCCGAGUCACGCCCCUCCUCAACGUCCACCGCACCGAGGAGCAACUGAAGACCGCCAACGAGGAGCUCCUCAUGCUGCGCGCCAAACUGGAGAAGAUCGAAUGCGAUCGCAGCGAGGUCAAGGCGGAGAACCAAAAGUUGGAAGCCAAGCUAUCCGAACUGACGGUGGACCUGGCCGAGGAGCGCUCCACAGCCCACAUCGCCACCGAGCGGCUGGAGGCGGAGACCGCCGAACGCCUCAAGCUGGAGAAGGAGCUGGGCGAUCAGGCCAACAAGGUGAAGAACCUCCAGGAGACCACCGAGAAGCUGGAAAUGGAACUCAUAUGCGCCAAGUCCGAUCUGAAUGGCAUCUCCGAGGACGAGGAUGCGGAGAACGAGGACGGCGGCGUGGGUGGCGGUGUCUACAAGCUCAAGUACGAGCGGGUGGCCCGGGAGCUGGAGUUCACCAAACGGCGUCUGCAUACGCAGCACGAGCACGAUCUGGAACAGCUGGUCGGGCUUAAGAAGCAAUUGGAGAAGAAGCUUUCCGAUGCCUACGAAGAAGUUGAGGAGCAACGUCAAGUUGUGGGCCAAUGGAAGCGCAAGGCUCAGAAGAUGACCAACGAGAUGAACGAUCUGCGCAUGCUGCUCGAGGAGCAAAAUGCCCGAAACAAUUUGCUCGAGAAGAAGCAGCGCAAGUUCGAUGCCGAGUGCCAGUCCCUGCAGGAUGCGGCUCGCCAGGAGCGUCAGGCCAAGGAGCGCUACGGCCGCGAGAAGGAUGUCCUGCAGGCCGAGAAGUUUACGCUGGAGCAGACCCUAGCGGACACCCGCUUGGAUCUGGACCUGAAGGAAGAGAAGCUAGCUUCGCUGCAGCGCGAACUGGAAGAGAUGACCUUUGGGGGCGGAACCGAAGAAGAGUUCGCCCAGCUGCGGCGCUCUAAAAACGAAACAGAACGCCGGGCCAAGGAGCAGGAGGAGGAACUGGACGAGAUGGCAGGCCAGAUACAGCUGCUGGAGCAGGCCAAACUCCGUCUGGAGAUGACACUGGAGACCAUGCGCAAAGAGGCACGCCGCGAGUCCCAGCAGCGUGAUGAGGAGCUGGAAGAAGUUCGCGGCAAUGGCUACAAAAAGAUCAAGGCCCUGGAGUGCCAACUGGAGACAGAGCAUGAGGAGCGAACCCUGCUCCUCCGUGAGAAGCACGAGCUGGAGCGACGCCUGUCCUCUAUGGAGGAUCGUGAUCGCGUGGACCGCGACGCUGAGGAGGCAAUGAACCAGAAGCUGCGCCGUGAUCUCCGCAAAUACAAGGCUCUGCUCAAGGACGCUCAGACCCAGCUGGAGCGCCUCAAGGCGGACACGCCAGGCAAGACGCUUAUUCGCCAGCUGCGGAAUCAACUGGAAGACGCAGAGUCCGCUCGAUCUCUGGCCAUGAAGGCGCGUCAAACAGCCGAAGCGGAACUCACCGAAGUCCAGGCCAUGUUCGAGGAGUCACAUCGCGCCCGAAACGAUGCCGAGGAGCGAGCCAAUGCGGCGCACAGGGAUCGCGCCGAGCUCCAGGCUCAAAUCGAGGAGAACGAGGAGGAGCUCAGCGAACUGAUGAAGAAGUACAGUGCCACAGUGAAGCAAUUGAACACCGAGCAGAUAAAUGUAUCCGAAGCGGAGUUCAAGCUCAACGAAAUGGAGGCUGAACGAAACAAUCUCAAAGAGCAGGUGGCCGAGCUACAGCACCGCUUGGACAAUGUCGAAAAUAUGGGCGAUCCAUCCAUGGCCAUGAUGUCGAAGAGAUUGGAGCUUCGCACCAAGGAACUGGAAUCCCGGCUGGAGCUGGAGCAGGCCACUCGGGCGCGUCUGGAAGUGCAGGUGACCCGUCACAAGGAGGCCCUGGAGAAGCUGCAGAACGAGGUGACGCAGUCGAAGAUGCGCGAAAUGCAGGCCCAGGACGUGCUCAAGAAGUCGCAAAAGAGUCUCCGCGAUAUGCGUGAGGAGUACCACACGGUGUCCAGUCGCGAGCAGGAGUCCCUGACGCGGCGCAAGGACCUCGAAAAGAAGAUGGAGCAAAUGGAAUCGGAGGGAGCGGCCCUGAAGAACGACCUCCGGCUGGCACUUCAGCGGAUAGCCGAUCUGCAACAGGCCAUGGAGGAGGAGGGCGAAGAGGAACUUAGCGAGAGUGACGAGAGCAUCAGUUCCGUGGGCUCCAUCAGCGACCUCGAGGAGCGCUUGCGACCCGUGCACGUGAAACGCAGUUCGCAACAGUCGCUGAAUGGAAGCAUCGGUGGUGGCGGAGGCGGCGGCGGCACUGUUGUCAGCACCACUCGCACCGUGGUCUAUGAAAAGGACGACAACAGCCCUAGGUACGCUGAUAACGAAGUCAACUCGAACAGCAGACAGCAGCACAAGCAUUAAGGCCCAAGCACCAUCCAAACAUUAUCCGCCUCUUAAUAUGCCUAUCGCUAGUUAGCUAGUCUGUAAGCUUUUUCUUAUUGUAGAAUAACAGUGACGUCGCCAUCGUCGCCGCACAUUCAUAAGCUGGCACUGGCGGCCAAAGCCAUACCGGAC